CACGUCUGGAAACCACCAAUAGUCACCCUUCUGCUUAUGCAGGGAGAGUGGAGGGAGGGGGCCUGCCAGCCACAUGCAAGAAAAGCCAGCUCAAAGCAGGGCCACAGUCCUCCUGCCCAUCUCCCCAGGAAGCACACUAAGAGUACCCCCCUGCGUGGAAAGCCAGAAGGGGCCAUGCAGAUAACCGUGUUUGGGAAUGCAGCAGCCAUCCUUCAACAAGGAAGCAACAGUCCAACCCCUCAGGAUGACAGAAGAUACAUACGGAAGCACAUAAAUGACAUUAGGGAGCGGUGCCCAUGUCCGGAUAUCUUAUGAUUGCAAGGCAAAAAGCCUCUUCAGUUGAUAGAGCCUUUUGGGUUCCAGCAGCCAAAAGUAGUAGUCUUAACUAACCCACACGGGAAGCAAGAGAUCCGACCAGGGAGCAUUUCAGGAAAAAAGACAAGGAGCUUCGCGACAACCCAGACACCACAUAUCUGGAGUGAACAGAUUACAAGAGAUGAAACACACUCCAAGCCCAAAGUCCAGAGCCCAAAAUGAAGAUGCCACACCAAAACUCGACUUAACAGAUGAGCAGGGAGUCAUCUGACCUGCCCCCCUCCUCGGCCAAAUGAGCAUUCUGGGCUUUGAAUCCCUGAAAGAAAAGUAAGGCGGGGGCUUCUGAGGGGGUCGUGGAGGGUAGCAGAUACAGGACCAGGACCCUGCUAAGCCGUGUGUGAGCCCCGCUGUGCCACACAGACCAGCUUCUCCAAGCAUGGAACAUCCAGGGCAAUAGAAUGCUCAGGGUGCACACGGUUGAGCCAGCAUAGAAGCAGGUCCCAGCUCCCACUGCCCUGCACUGAGCAAGCGCAUUUCAGCCAGCAGGAUAGGAAGCUGCGAGUACAGCCGAGAGGGUGGCACGCAGUGCGCAGGCGCGCCACAGCUGUACUGCGUAGCAGGGAGUUGGGAGGGGAAGCUCAAAGCAAGGUUUGCGUAAGCUGUAGGGAGUGGUGGGAGUAGGAAGGCCCCACCUUCAGCAGUUGGAGUGCUCUUAGCAUCAGAGGUCUCCGACCCUGGUUCUUCUGAUCCAUCAUCGGCUGGGGGCUGUGGGGGAGACUCUGGAACAUAUACAGUGAGCCCUCAGACCUCAAGAGGAACCUGAGAGCUGUGUCUUAGUGAGCUGCAAACUCUUUAGUGUGAGUACUGUAGCCUUAUGAUCAAACCAUUGAUGGGACCAGCACCCCCAACACAACCAUGUUCCACUCUUGGGGUCCCUGAAUGACAAUGUGGGUGAGGCAGAGGUUCUCUGUGUAGACCUGGCUGCCUUGGUACUCACUCAGUAGACCACGCUGGCCCUGCACUCACAGAUAUCGGCUUGCCUUUGCCUCUUGAGUGCAGGAAUUAAAAGUGUGCACCACCACCGCCCAGCGUGAAGAUAUACCUCUGAAUCACCCAGGUUCAACUGAGGCAAAUGCUCUAAUAUUGACAACCUGACAACGGAUCGGGAAAGCCUGCUCCUGCAUGAGCAGAAAUCCCUCUCUCGUCUUCCCAGUGGCCUCUCAGUCUUCAGGUCACAGCUCCUCAUCGCUCAGCUCAGUGAACACACUUUCAUGCUUGCAUUGGCUGAAGGAUUUUCUUUGCUAACUCCCUUCUUUAACCGUGGCUUUGUUAACAUGACUUCGUUAACACGCCUUCGUUAGCAUGGCUGUGUUUAAAGAGAUCUAAUGCUCUUUGCCAGGCCUGUGACACCCAUUAGGGGAGGUGGUCAUUCUGGUGGUGUUUACUUCACCUUGUGUGGUGGUUUGUAUACGCUUGGUCCAGGGAGAAGCUAUUAGGAGGUGUGGCCUUGUUGGAGUGGGUGUGGCCUUAUUGGAGGAAGGGUGUCACUGUGGGAGUGGGCUUUGAGAGACCUUCCUCUUAGCUACUUGUAAGACAAUCUUCUGCCUGCCUUCGGAACAAGAUGAGCCAUGACUGUCUGGACGCCCACUGCCAUGCUUCUCACCAUGAUGAUAAUGGACUGAACCUCCGAACCUGUAAGCUAGCCCCAAUUAAAUGCUGUCCUUUAUAAGAGUUGCUUUGGUCACGGUGUCUUUUCACAACAAAGGAAACCCUAACUAAGACAUCUUGGUUGAAGAGCUUUUAGGGUAGCUCUGUGUAUCACCAGGAAUGCGGGAAGUUCUUUUUUCUUUAUUUUUUGUUAUGGUACAGAUCCUGACUGGAACUCUCCAGAGGCUCCAAGAGCCAGCUGCUCAUUGUAUUAGAGGGACAACUGGGCUCUGGCCAUGGGGUGAAGUCCACUACCAGCCCAUGCUCCACAACAGAUUAACACCCCAUGUGGUGGUUUAAAUGAAAAUGGCCCCAUAGGCCCAUAGGGAGUGACACAAUUAGGAGGUGUGGCCUUGUUGGAGUAGGUGUGGCUUUGUUGAAGGAAGUGUGUCACUGUGGGGUGGGCUCUGAGGUCUCAGAAGCUCAGGCUUGGCCAGUGCAUCACUGUCAUUUCUUGCUACUUUCUAAUCCAGAUGUAGAGCUCUUGGCUAUCUCUCCAGCACCAUGUCUGCCCGUGUGCCACCAUGCUUCCUGUCAUGAUGACAAUGGACUAAAAAUCUCAACUGUCAGUCCCAAUUAAAUAAGAGUUGCUGUGGUCAUGGUGUCUCUUCACAGAAAUAAAACCCUAACUGACACACCCCAUCAGGUGCAGGCUGAACACCCACUAUCGUGGCAAGGAGGGACCCCACCUGGAGCCCAUUCAAUCUGCUGUCCUUGAAAACAGAAUUCUGAUAGAAUUCAUGACAGAGCUGUGCCUACUUAGGAGGCACAUCUUUCUUACUCGUGAGACACCUUGAAGGUGGAAGCCAUACACUCAUGAGGGUUGGCUUUCUCAACCAUGUGAAGAGUGAGAACCAUCCUCAGGCAAAGUGUGUUUGAGCAGAGUGUGUUUGAGGCUAGGCACACCUAGGUGAGGGGCUAUUGGCUCAAGGGCCACAAUUGCCCCAGCAAUGAGGUAACACAAGGAAUGGCCCUAGGGAUGGGUGUGGUGGUGUUUGGUUUUAAUGCCAGCACCCAUGAGGCAGAGGCAGGCAGAUCCAUAAGUUUGAGGCUAGCUAGGGCUACAAAGUGAGUUCCAGGAUAGUUAAACAGGCUAUGGAGAGAGACUGUCUCUCAAAAACAAACAAACAGGCACCUCUUCAUCCUUGGUGAUGACUGGACAAAGCACGGAGCACGUUCAGGUCACAAAGCUGCUGAAGGCAAACCUGGGGUUUGUGCCAAGGAGGUCUAGACUAGAAGAGAUGGUGUGAGGUCCUCAGAGAGCUACAGAAAGUCAUAUAGAGCACGGCUGGGGCCAUGAGGAAUCCAUGGGAGGGGAGCACUGAGCAUGGACGAUACUUGCUAGGUAGCAGUGUGGCUGGGUCAGUCAGUGGAGACAAGUACAGGGAGGGAUGAGACACCUCUCAGCCUCCUGCAGAGCACAGGCAAAGAAGGGCCCUUCUCAUAUUUUGUUUUGUCACAGUGUCUCAUGUAUCGAGGUUGGCCUCAGACUCACUGUGGACUUAAUCCCCUUCAUUUAUCCUUGGAGGGAGAGAGGAGGGAGAGAAGAGGGAGAAUAGGCUCCCUUCAAAGGCCUGGAAAGUGUUACACAUCAGCGCCUUUUAAUUCACGGGUGUGUGUGACCGCUUCCCCCACUCCACAGGCUUUCUGGCUGCAUCUACUCAUAGCCCAGUGUUUAGCAUCCACUUAGACACCGCAUUCAGGUGUGGUCUCUCAUCUUUAUUCAAAACAGUCUUGCGUCGCUCACUUAUCUGAGCUGUUGUGAUCCCUUCUGCCAAGUCAAAGCUGCCACUCCACACCUGUGAACAGCUCAACCCAAACCCUCGGUAGCAAGACUUAAUUUGAUGAGAAUCUCUUAGGUGUCUUUGGCUUCUUUGGGGAGUACAGUUCUAGGCGGGACAGCAUCUUCCAAGGAUCAGCAAUUUCAAUCUCUCUCUCUCUGUCUCUCUGUCUCUCUGUCUCUCUGUGUCUGUCUGUCUGUCUGUCUCUCUCUGUGUCUGUGUAUCUGUGUGUGUCCCCGAGCACUCCCACAGCUCCUGCACACAUUCACACAGUGAAAUGGACAGCCAGCGAGUUUGAAGGAGGAGAGCUCCAGGCCAAGUCAACAUAGGUAGAAGAGACUACAUUAUAGACUCUGCAGAGGCCAGUGCAGUUUUAAUUAAACUAAAUCUGAGAAGUGCUUUAAAAAUUUACAUCCAUUUUUGCUUAUGCAUAUGUAUGGAAAUCUGUGAAUGCAAUGUAGGUGUAGGGCGUCAGUUUCCCAACACUGGAGUUAACAGAUUCUGUGGGCUCACCGACCUGGGUUCUGGGAACCAAACUCAGGUCUCCUUGAAGAGCAGCGAGUGCUCUUAACCACUGAGCCAUCUCUCUGGCCCUAAGCAGUCUGAGACGGGAUCUCUCUCUGUGGUCCUGGCAGAACUCGAACUCACUCUACAAAACAGGUUGGCUUUGAACUUGCAGUAAUCCUCCUGCUUCUGCUUCUUGAAUACUGGAAUUACUGGACAGUGGCAACACGCUGUGCCCAACCUGAUGCAGUUCACUAACGAGGAUAUACUCAGAAUCCCAGGGUACCAUACUUUUGCCUGACAGAGUCCAGACGGCCAGCUUUGUGUAGCUAAGGACUCAAAGAGGCUCCCAUAGAGAGUGACAAUCUCUCCCCCACUUUGUCAUGCUGUCUGGUGAGGUGAAUAUUUAACACCUGCAUAUUUUUACUUUUCUUCGCCCAUUUGAACUAAGGAGACAUCCCUCUCCUGAUGUGCUAGUGCUGUAAGGUAUGAACGACUCCUUUAAAAAAUCUAGGAUUUGGGGCUGGGGAUUUAGCUCAGUGGUAGAGCGCUUACCUAGGGAGCGCAAGGCCCUGGGUUCGGUCCCCAGCUCCGAAAAAAAGAACCAAAAAAAAAAAAAAAAUCUAGGAUUUGAACCCCUCCUGCCAGCCCCUGCUGAGGCAAACACAGACUGUGUUCCACUGUGACGGGCCGGCUGUGUGUGCUCGCUCACUGACCUUUUAAGCCAUGGUCCAUGUCUCCUUCUUGGUCUUGGAGCAUAGUGUAAUCUCCGGCCUGGUCUUCCAUUGUGUCAAACUCCUGGCGGGGUUCAGCCAUGCUGCUUCAAAGCCUGCAGGUAAAAAAGCAACGGAGCUUGUCACCGGUGGGAUGCUGACCCUGGCGAUAUGACUUAAGAGAGUGGAGUUGGGGACAAGGAGAGAGAGCCACCCCUCCCGGAAAGUCACAGUAGGAGAGCCUCAGUUUCCUGACCUCCGGCCUCACUGAGUGUUCACCACCCCCACUAAAGCAGGUGACAUUUCUGUCUCCUGUCAUCUGCCGUCUCACUAGCUCAUAUCCGAAAUCACAAGAUGAGGCGGUGACUUGGUCAUCCCUGCUCUUUCCGGGUCACUGAGAAGAGCUGUUGACGUGUUAGUAGUCCAGUGGUUAUGGAGGGACGGCUAUGCAGGGCCUCUCUCCUCAGGAAAGGAGACUGGAAGAGAGUGGCUGCUUAGUUCUGUGAAUGCCAGCUGACUGUGGGACCCCGGGCCCUGUACAGGCGGAGCCUGCAUCUUUACGGAGGUAGCGCCCUGCCUUGCGUGGAGAGGGGAAGAUCUGCCAGCAUCGUCCUCCAGGCCCUGCAUGUCCUCCCAGUCAGCGAUGAGUGGAGCGAAUUGCAGGGCACAGCAGUGGAUGGAGGAAGAUGAACCGGCUGGUUUGGACUCUGCUCACCUCACCGGCAGGGAUGGCACCAAAGUGGUGUCCUAAGGUGAACUUGGCCGCUCUGUGUAGGGUUAGUGGGAACGUAAGAGUACCUGCUGGCGUGCGGUAACAACCAUGUCCAGGGGGAGAGUUCAGAGGCCAGAACUUGAUGUGGGUAAAGGAGACGGAAAGGAAGACAUAGUCAUGGGACGUGUGGCUUAGAAAUUGCUAGACUGACUUUCAAAGUCAGAGUGCAGUUAGGCAGGGGGAUAGAAUCCGCAAGUAUACUAAAGGCUGCUUUAUACAAAUCCACAAGCAUACUUGGGUGGCUGGGCAAAGACAGGUAAGGUAAAGAGACACCAUGGGGACAGGACAAUGGUGCUGGUGCCGCCCGUUCUGUUUGCCGAAGAUCACUGCUUGAGAGAUGACGCCCCUUUCCCAAGGCUGCACUUUCCUAAUAGAGAUUCCAUUCACGUUGCUUGGAUUGGGUUUAUACUACUGUGAUAAGACACCAUGACCAAAACGGAGUCAGAGAAGAAAAGGUUGAUGUCAUCUUACAGCUCCCAGGUCACACACAUCAUGGAGGGAAGUCAGGGCAGGAGCUCAAGGCAGGAACUGAAGCAGAGGCCACAGAGGAAUGCCUUGAACUGGCUUGCUCUUCAUGUCUUGUUCACCCGGCUUCCUUAUACAAGUCUGGACAACCUGCCCAGACACGGCACUGCACGAGGUAGGCUUGGUCCGCCCAUACGAAUCAUCAAUCGAGACCUCCCCCCCCCCCCCGCCCCUGCAGACUUGCCUACAGGCUCUUCAAUGGAGGCAUUUUAUCAAUGGACAUUCUUCCCAGAUAAUUUUAGCUUGUGUCAAGUUGAAAAGGCAAAGCAAAACGCAAACAACUAGGAACUUUUUAAACCCGCUCUGACUUCCGUUAAAAUUACAAUUUUUUCAUGGGUCUUUGUUUUUAUGGAUUUUUUUUCAAAGCUACUUUUAAUACUUUGAGGCCCUCGAAGGAAGGAAGGACAAAAGGAACCCGCUGCAGACUCAGGGCAGAGGGAAUGGUUGGUGCUGGGACCUGUGAGCACUACAGGAAGAAAGUGGAGCAUGAUGGGACUGGCUCCAGGCACGCGGAUGCAGGGGCAUGAAGCCAGAAGGCUACUUGGGUUCCUGCUUCUGCUGCAUGAUCUUCUAGUCCUCUACUUGGGGGCAGAAGUCCAUCUUCUCUGUGCUUUCCCUGAAGCAAGUCGCUCUGCUUCUUCCUGUUCUUCUGGUGGGCAGGCUUUCGCUGGUUACCAUGGCAACGGCAGAGGCUCCGACCUGCCUCCUAGCAUCUUGGUUUGUUUUUUUGAGACAGGGUUUCUCAGUGUAACAGAGCCCUGCUAUCCUGGAACUCACUUUGUAGACCAGGGGAUUUUUUUUUUUUUUUUUGUUCUUUUUUUCGGAGCUGGGGACCGAACCCAGGUAAGCGCUCUACCACUGAGCUAAAUCCCCAGCCCCGG